rnacentral:rRNA from 1 species
UACGGGGGGAGCAAGCGUUGUUCGGAUUUACUGGGCGUAAAGAGCGUGUAGGCGGCCACGCAGGUCCGUUGUGAAAACUGGAGGCUCAACCUCCAGCUGUCGACGGAAACCGUAUGGCUAGAGUCCGGAAGAGGAGAGUGGAAUUCCUGGUGUAGCGGUGAAAUGCGCAGAUAUCAGGAAGAACACCUAUGGCGAAGGCAGCUCUCUGGGACGGUACUGACGCUGAGACGCGAAAGCGUGGGGAGCGAACAGG